CCACCUUUGAAACAACAACAGCACGCGUCGCGUCUCUCCGCUUUUCUCCUUCGUUUUUUUUUUACACCACACUCUCCUGGCAUUUUACACACGAUUCUGAUACUGAUACCGUUUUCGUGUCGCGCGUGAUUGAAUUGGCAAACGGCAGGAAGAAAACCCAGUGUGCGCGCAGUGUCAACAAGAAAAACACAAAGUUACAAAGGAAAAAAAAACCAAACUAUAAAUUCCAAAAGAGAGGAAGCAAAAGGCAGGACUUUUGCAGGAUCAGCAGAGAGAGAGAGAGAGAGUUGAUCAACGGGAUACAGGGUGACAUGUGGAGUCCGACGCACUGCAGUGUAACGGUGCAGCGAGCGCGGGGGCUGCUAACCAAGGGCAAGAAUGGCACCAACAACUGCUUCGUCACGAUUGCCUUGGGCAAGGAGAAGUACCAGACGUCGGUCAAGGACAAGGCCGAGACGAGCGUCAAUUGGAACGAGGAGUGCGAGCUCAAAAUCCCCGAUCAGGGCAACCGCGCCGAGCUCACUUUGACCUGCCUGCACCGCAACAAUCUGGGCAUCGAUGAGUUCCUCGGCCAGGCCUCGCUGCCCCUCAACGAGAUGGACGUCUACGAUCGUCCGCGCGCCAAAUGGUUCAAGCUGGAGAGCAAGCCGGGCAAGGAGAAGAAGAACAAGGAGCGCGGCGAGCUGGAGGUGCGCAUCGCCUUCGUCGUGAAGUCCGGUUCGCUGACCGAUCUCAGCAAGAAGGACAAGCACAAGUCUUCCAUUGGCCAGCUGGCCAGCUCCGUUGGCGGCAGCCUGCUGUCCAUCGGCAAUGGCGAGAAGCGGCGCAGCAUCAAGAAGCUGGCCGGAUCGCUGAGCUCCAAGCUGCACAUACGCAGCAAGAAGAAGCAUCAGGAGGGAGGAGCGGAUGAUAGCAGCUCCUUUGGCGGCUCCUUUGCCAGCCUGGGCACCCCAAAUAGCUCGAAUGGCCGGGGACAGAACGGCGGCGGCGGCAGUGGACGACGACGUGGCGGCCAGCGGGCGGGCGAGGCCGAUCCCGGCGUGAUUAGCGAGGAUGAGGAUGAGUUUGUCUUCGAUAAUCUGUCGCACAAGAGUUCGGGUAGCUCGCUGAACAUCCAACGCACCGGUUUGCAGCCCCCGGCGGCGUUAGGAACGGCGCCUAACUUUGCGCCGCGCCAUCCAUCGCCUCUGCUGAGCAAUGGAGGAGGAGUAGCAGGCGGCGGCAGCGGGAAAGGUAAGCCAGCGAUUUUGCCAGUGACGCUCGAUGAGGAUGAUGCGCCCAUCGACGCGGAUAUGGAACAGCUUGAGCUCGAUUUCAGUGUACGUGCCCACGCCCGCAGCAGCAACAGCAGCAGCACCCUGCCGCCACCCUCGAAGCCGCCGCGCAUUCCCCUGGAGCAGGAGCAGCCGGUGGCUGAAAGUCUGGAGCGGGAGAAGCCAAAGGAGAAGCCAAGGGAGAAGCCCAAGGAGGUGGAGAGCGACAAAGACGAGUGGGCCUCGAAGUUGUAUGGCGGUGGCAAGUACCUGGAGAUCGGUAGCAGUGACUCCUUGAAGCGACGCAGCUGGGAGGAUCGAGUGCCGCUGCCUGCCAGCGUCGAGGAGCCGCCGCCAAUGCCCACGUCCAGUUCGUCGUCCAGUUCCAGCGAGGAUAGCGACGAGGAUGAGGAUGAGCAGCCACCGCAGACAGCUCCGCCACCAGUACCCGUGCCUGCUCCUGCUGCUGCUCCUGCUCCAGUGGCAGCCACCUCCUCCUCGCUCUUCUCCCCCGAAGUGGAGCACCGCAACUUUGACACCUUCAACGCCAGCUUCGCCAAGUACGAGCAGCGCAACAGCACCGCCAUCUUUGCCGAUGAGCCCGAGUUGGAUGAUUUGACGGCGGAGCUGGAGAAGCCAGUGCCCACGCCUACAGCUCGUCCCAAGCCACAGCCGCGAGCUACGGCUGAUUUGAGGGCUGAGGAGGAGGAGGCUGCGAGGCAGCAGCGCGCCGAGGAGGAUGCCCGCCUGGAGGCGGAGCUGCGGCUGAAUGAGGAGCGGCUGCGCGAGGAGGAGGCGGCCAUGCAGCGGGAGAUGGAGGAGGAGAGGGAGAGGGAGCGACGAAAGCAAUUGCAGCUGGACGAGCAGCAGAGGCGCGAGGCGAAGCGCUGGGAGGAGGACCAAAGACUGCUGAGCUUCGCCAAGCGAUCCACUUCCCUCGAGGAGCCGGUAGCCAGUACAGAGAAGGAGGAGACGGAGCCAGCAGAGGUUGAAGCGACAGAGCCGGAGCACAAUUUCCUAACGCCCGAGCAGUCGCCCAAGGAGUUCCAGACGAACGGCAGCGGCGGCGGGGAGCACUGGGAAAAGCGGCUGGGCAAGUUCAAAUACGGCAACAAGCGAGAUAAAUACAACAACGACAAUGAGAGCAACUCGCCUAGUCCCAAGUCCACGGAGCGCAUAAUUAUUGGUCACGAGAAGUCGGGCUCGCAUGCGGAGCGACGCUCGGAGAUAUCCGCCCAGCUGGCCAAGAAAUACGAGGGCAAGUCCCGGGAGGAACUAAUGCUAAUUGCCAACGGAAUGGAGAACGAGGCUCUGCUGCAGCGACAGCGCGUCAAGGAGCUGGAGGACUACCUGGACAACCUGCUGCUGCGCGUGAUGGAGACGCAUCCGAAGAUCUUGCAGAAUCCCUAUUCGCGCACCACGUCCGCCAAGAGGUACGCCACCUGGUCGUUCUGGUCUCGCUCCACGCCCACGCCCACCACCACCCACUAACCAAUCAACCAACCAAAUCAAACCAACUGCAUGACCUUUGACCGCCGUUAUAAAAAUUACAUCAAUAUGAAUGACUUUCUAAAGUAAGUGCUGCGCGCAUGUUGCAAGUUGCAUUUAAGUAGACACUUAACCAACAACAAUCCCCAACAACAACAACAACAACUACAUCACCAACUACACCACAACCCCCAACAACAACAAGAACAACUACAAGUGAGGCAACUCCUUCGAAAGGAACAACAACUAUAGCUGGAAGUCGAACGGCUAAAUAGCCAAAAACUGGUCACCAAGCGUCACCAAUUGAUUCACUUGACCCACAACAGCUGGAGGAGAUCGGUGGCGCCUACGGGUGCGGGUGCAGAAUCGAAACACUAAUCCAACACCAUGUUGCCUUUGUCGUGAACAGCGAAAUUCAAGUGCUUUCUAAACCGUAUUUCUAAGAGUGGGGGACUAAACUAAACUAAUUGUACACGUACUUUGUCCAAUUUGCUUGGGGAGUGCAAAAUUUUGAUUGAUAUUUUCGUAGCAUUCGUGUUCUCUUAUGUAUGUUUGUUUGCCCCCCCCCACUAAAACGAACUAAAUUAAUUGUACUAUAUAUGCUACUUACUACUAUGUUGCGUUUGGCAUUCGCUGAACCAUCGAUUUGCCUUGAUUCGAGUCCCUUGUCGUCGAUUGAUUGAAAUUAUCCGAAAGUAUUUUGUUUAUUUUUUUUGUAUGUCCAUUUCUUUUUUUUGUUUUUUGUAAUAUUGUGCAAAAAAGAGUUUGAGAAGUUUUUGUAAAGUGCUGCGAGGGAAAGUGGCCUUAGUGGAUUAAGUUUUAAAUUAUUUAUGUUUUAGCGGUUAAGCGAAAUGGGGGGAAAAAAGGGGGAUCGACCCGGGUCCCCCGCAAAAACACCACACACAGUUGAAAUAUGUUGAUACUACAAUGAUUUUACUUAUUGAUAUACACGCAAACAGAAUAAAAACAUUUUUAACAUUAAUAACAAA